CCUACGGGAGGCAGCAGUGGGGAAUCUUAGACAAUGGGCGCAAGCCUGAUCUAGCCAUGCCGCGUGAGUGAAGAAGGCCUUAGGGUCGUAAAGCUCUUUCGCCUGUGAAGAUAAUGACUGUAGCAGGUAAAGAAACCCCGGCUAACUCCGUGCCAGCAGCCGCGGUAAUACGGAGGGGGUUAGCGUUGUUCGGAAUUACUGGGCGUAAAGCGCGCGUAGGCGGACAUUUAAGUCAGAGGUGAAAUCCCAGGGCUCAACCCUGGAACUGCCUUUGAUACUGGGUGUCUUGAGUUCGAGAGAGGUGAGUGGAAUUCCGAGUGUAGAGGUGAAAUUCGUAGAUAUUCGGAGGAACACCAGUGGCGAAGGCGGCUCACUGGCUCGAUACUGACGCUGAGGUGCGAAAGUGUGGGGAGCAAACAGGAUUAGAUACCCCUGGUAGUCCACACCGUAAACGAUGAAUGCCAGUCGUCGGGCAGUAUACUGUUCGGUGACACACCUAAC
rnacentral:rRNA from 1 species